rnacentral:rRNA from 1 species
UGAUUUUAACAAUGAAGCGAGUGGCGAACUGGUGAGUAACACGUGGGAAAUCUGCCCAGAAGCAGGGGAUAACACUUGGAAACAGGUGCUAAUACCGCAUAACAACUUGGACCGCAUGGUCCGAGUUUAAAAGAUGGCUCUGCUAUCACUUCUGGAUGGACCCGCGGCGUAUUAGCUAGUUGGUGAGGUAGAGGCCCACCAAGACGAUGAUACGUAGCCGACCUGAGAGGGUAAUCGGCCACAUUGGGACUGAGACACGGCCCAAACUCC